rnacentral:rRNA from 1 species
UACGGAGGGUGCAAACGUUGCUCGGAAUCAUUGGGCGUAAAGCGCACGUAGGUGGCCUGUUAAGUCGGGCGUGAAAUCCCUGGGCUCAACCCAGGAAGUGCACUCGAAACUGGCAGGCUUGAGUACUGAAGAGGGUCGCGGAAUUCCCGGUGUAGAGGUGAAAUUCGUAGAUAUCGGGAGGAACACCAGUAGCGAAGGCGGCGACCUGGGCAGAUACUGACACUGAGGUGCGAAAGCGUGGGGAGCAAACAGG